CAUAGCACCCAAAAAUCUGAUAGAAUCUGCCAAAUUCAAAGUUAAAAAGAAAUAAGAUUCCAAGAAUUUGGCCACCAAAACUGUAAUCCAAAGACACCAAGAAACGAAAGCACCUGUUUUUGAGGUCGGAGUGAAAUUGGCGGUGAAAAAUCUGUUAGCAAGGUUUUUUCCAGACCUUUUUGUGGUGAAACCAACCAAAUUUCGUAACGGCGUAAUCGAAUAGUAAACUACACAGACCAACGAGAAAAAGAAAUGCACAAUUCCUA